rnacentral:rRNA from 1 species
GACGAACGCUGGCGGCGUGCCUAAUACAUGCAAGUCGAACGCUUCUUUCCUCCCGAGUGCUUGCACUCAAUUGGAAAGAGGAGUGGCGGACGGGUGAGUAACACGUGGGUAACCUACCCAUCAGAGGGGGAUAACACUUGGAAACAGGUGCUAAUACCGCAUAACAGUUUAUGCCGCAUGGCAUAAGAGUGAAAGGCGCUUUCGGGUGUCGCUGAUGGAUGGACCCGCGGUGCAUUAGCUAGUUGGUGAGGUAACGGCUCACCAAGGCGACGAUGCAUAGCCGGCCUGAGAGGAUGAUCGGCCACACUGGAACUGAGACACGGCCCAGACUCCUACGGGAGGCAGCAGUAGGGAAUCUUCGGCAAUGGACGAAAGUCUGACCGAGCAACACCGCGUGAGUGAAGAAGGUUUUCGGAUCGUAAAGCUCUGUUGUUAGGGAAGAACAAGGACGUUAGUAACUGAACGUCCCCUGACGGUAUCUAACCAGAAAGCCACGGCUAACUACGUG